rnacentral:tRNA from 1 species
GCUGGUGUUGCUCAGUGGUAGAACAUCAGCCUGUGCUCUGAAGGGUCAUGGGUUCGAUUCCCAGUCAAAGGCA